CCUACGGGAGACAGCAGUGGGGGAUAUUGCACAAUGGGGGAAACCCUGAUGCAGCGACGCCGCGUGGGUGAAGAAGCGCCUCGGCGCGUAAAGCCCUGUCAGCAGGGAAGAAAAUGACGGUACCUGAAGAAGAAGCCCCGGCUAACUACGUGCCAGCAGCCGCGGUAAUACGUAGGGGGCAAGCGUUAUCCGGAUUUACUGGGUGUAAAGGGGGCGCAGACGGCGAUGCAAGCCAGGCGUGAAAGCCCGGGGCCCAACCCCGGGACUGCUCUUGGAACUGCGUGGCUAGAGUGCAGGAGGGGCAGGCGGAAUUCCUGGUGUAGCGGUGAAAUGCGUAGAUAUCAGGAGGAACACCGGUGGCGAAGGCGGCCUGCUGGACUGCAACUGACGUUGAGGCCCGAAAGCGUGGGGAGCAAACAGGAUUAGAUACCCCAGUAGUC
rnacentral:rRNA from 1 species